CUAUUUUCCUUUUUUAAGGAUUGCUCGCCCUUGGAGCUGAGAUGCUAUGCAGGCAGACAAGGUAGACAUCAGGGCUUUUCAAUGCUUUUAGAAAGAGCUGCUUCCCAGAUGAUUGCGAAGUUGAUCUCAAAAGACUUGGGAGCUGAGGAAGUGGAGUCGGGUGCUUACCCAGAACCUACAGAAUCAGUGUGGGAGAGAGUAGGGAAGGGAGUGAGAAGGACUAUGGGACAGAGACCUCCAUCUCCAGGCCCAGGUUGAGGGUGUUUGCUGAUCCCGCCUUCCAAAUUAUAGGUACAGUUUCCAUCCUGCAGGAGCAGUGACUCUAGAAAUACAUGCAAUUCACACAAAUAUUUUACAUCCAUGCCUCUUCCCAAUCUAGGAGUCGCAGUUUUAAUGCCACUAAGGAAUCCUUUGAUAUCACUAUUUGAAAGAUGGAGAGAAAAACAACCAACCUUGUUCUGUAAAUCCAAAUUCCUAUAGUUCUCUUCUUUUAAGGGAGGACACACCUACAUAUGGUUAAAAGGAGAAAAGAAAACUGCCAUUUGGCCCCAGUGAUAUCAUCUACCAUUUUGAGGAAGGACAUUCCAGAGCAGAAGGCUAGAGACAGACAGUGGUUGCCUUUUUAUAAAGAAGCCCUUGGAAAAUGCAGCAUCAGCCAGAAUCUAAAUUUGUGAAAAUGGACCAACAGGAAAUUUCACCCCACGUCAGACAAACUUCAUAAGGGAGCUGUGGGGGACUCUAUUGCUCAGAGAGGCUUUUUAAGAAAAUUGCAACUUUUCGCCAGACCCCGAGGGUACUGGGAAGUUGCACAAAGAUCGUCACACCCUUUUGUGGCUUCUCCUCCCUUGGUGCAGCUUUGGAGGCAUAGCUCAAGCCUCAUCUUCUGGAAGUUUCCUCUUAAUCUUCUCUACUGGAGUGAUGUGCCCCACCCCUGAACAGUGUUCAUUCUCUCCACCCAUCACCUGUAAUGUAGAUGUUGGCUAGAACAGACUCAGAGCAAGGAAUAGAACUGGUUGGAGAAUCCCUUUCGUCAUGUCUGAGUUACUGCCAUGAAGGCAGCUAUUAUGGGAAUGGUUCAUUAUUUUCCCCUUUAAAACAGGAU
rnacentral:lncRNA from 1 species